rnacentral:lncRNA from 1 species
AGGAAGUGAGGUGAGGGAACCUUUGUUGCGCGUAAAUUGGUUUGUGUUGCUACCCACACCCACCCACCUGAAUGAAUGAAUAAUAAUAAGUACUCCAUCACACACGACACCACCGUAACGUAGUAGUAGUAGCAGUAUGUGACCAGAUGCCAUUAUUAUUAUUACAGCACAAAGAAAACUGCAGCAGCAUUUGCUUGCAGCACCAGCAUGUGACUUGUGUUGUUUUGUUUUGUGAUUGACUCAAAACUCAAAUCAAAUCAAAUCAACCAUGGAUUCGGAAGAGUCCACCAGGUAUGUUAUUGUGCGUCCAGAAAAGGGUCGUUUUACGGACUUAUUCCGCUAUGCACUGCUAGGCGCCGCUACAUCUUCAUCUUCAUCCGUGGAUGUGGAGGAGGAUCGCAGAUGGGUCAUCCUGGUUUCCAUUCUUGUUCUCAAAUUAAUUGCUAUAUUUUCUAUUCCUAUGUACUGGACCGGCCGCUUUCUUGAUUUUUCCCUCAAUCUUAUCUCUCUCAACGGUGGUUCUUUAUUUCGUCUGCUUCACA